rnacentral:lncRNA from 1 species
AAAAAAUCAAUUUUGAAGGGCAAAAUUAAAAAGAAAAAAAAAAGUUUUUCCGAAAAUUUACCUAAUGUUCAGGAAGGAAAUAAAGAAACAUCUAAACAGCUUUUUACAACACAUAAUUCCUUGGGUGUGUUAAAAGCUCGCGAUGGUCGGGUGACAGCGCUGGGCGAGCAGUCUGUGUCUGCGUCCUCAUCAAGUAAAAAGCACGGGCAAGUUGAUCUUAAAAAACCAGCGACGAAGUCUUCUUCCAAGAGGUGCCACAGAAACCUGUAACCUGUUCACUCGCUUCAAAUAAAAUUUUAAUUUACCUUUCAUUUCUUUCUUCAAAGAAAAAAAUGCUAAAAUUUCGAGCCUAUCGUAUGAUAGCCUUUGUACGUAGUCUAGUUGUAAUGCCCAUUGUCAUCUUUAGCACAUUUUAUCUUUUACAUUUUUUGAUUCUAUAUUAAAGUUUAUCAACUCUUAUUUCUUCAAGGAUGCACGGUCACCGGAUAAAAAUUGUGAAGCACUCAAAUUAAUUCAAAUUAACUGGGAAAAGAACCUCAACCAUUGUUUACAAAAUUGAUUCAAACUAAAUCAAUAGAUGAUGAAGAUGUAAAUUAUUUACAAAAUUGUUUGCUACACAUAAAAAAAAAAAAUAGAACCUCAACCUUAAGUUAAACUAAAUGCACACAGUUUUGUAAACGCAUUUUCUAUUUACCAACUGGUUUUCUCUUCCCAUAAGCACACAAAUACCCAAAGAAUACCACUGCAUACAUCUAUUGGCAGGCAUUACAAUCCUUUCUUGUGUGUGUGCGUGUAUUGUGAGUUCCAUUGCAGAACAAACUUACUUGUUUUGACAAUAAGAUUCACCAAAUUAAAGAUCAUUUCAAGAGGAAUAUUCUGCUUUUGUCUAGUUCUAACAUGAAAAUGACUAGGUGAUAUAACAUAUCUAUAAUCCUUGUAGCAACUAAGAUGAAAAAUGCCUUCAUAAUCAGUUAGUAAAUUCAUUAAUGUUUUAUCGUCAAAAUAUGGUCAUCAUUUUCUAACUCAUGUUAUAUUCAGAUAAGCUUAGAUGGCACCUUUUACCUUCUCCUCGUUAAUCAGCUCUACUUCUAGGUGUUAGUACCUGAAGCACAAUUUCCCUAUAUUUAUUAUGCACUAUGUACAAGAGCAAUAUGUGUAACAAUAAUAUCCUUACUAAAAUGAACUGCAUAAUAUAAGAAAAUACUUGUAAAAAAAUGACAUAAGCAGCAGCAUUGGUCAUUUAAGUCAUAAUAGAAUACAGCAAUGAAGCAUAGAGAAACCUAGAGGUCAAAGAACGAGACAUCUACGUGUAAAUUCAUUCCGAGAAAGUUGUCAAAGAACUUUGGGAAAUUCUAUAAGCUAAAGUCAUGUAGAGGUACAAAAUUUUGUAAACAAAAAUUCAACCUACUAAAACAACUUGUAAACACACUAAAUGAAACAUACAAGCUAAGAAGCAUGCAGGGAAAAUCAAAGGUUGUGUCCUGUGUCUAUGAUAGGGUAGGGCUCAAACAAGGAAAAAAGAUGAAGCUCAAAUUGGAUAUCUGAAGAGUCCGCUAUGGUAUUAGUUUCAUGACAUCAGGAAUAUAUAGACAGACUUUAAUCAAGUAGUCUUUUAUGGGUUUACAAUAAAUUCACUAAGAAAAGGACUAAAGUUGAUCGUAUAAGUUCAUAGGGUGUACAAUCACCCAGAUCAAAAAAAUGUAAAUAACUAAAGUUGUUAGAAGGAUAGAGAAUAAUGGCUAAUGGAUUGCAAAAUUAGGAUAUCAAGUUGUUUUAGGAAUUUUAUAGCAAUCUAGUGAAAUGUAUGCUGACAAACAUUGAUCAGCAAUAUAACAGUAAGAAAAGUAUUUAUGGUACACAUCUUAUAUGAAGUUCAGAAACAGAGCAAGUACUGUUGUUCUGCCAUAUAUAUCAACUGUUGGACAGAUUGUUGUUGUAAGAGAAACUAGGCAAAGAAAUAAAGAAGUAUAGAAUUGGAAGUUGACACAGUGUGAGCACCACUAACCCAACAUUAAAAUAAGUAUAAACUAAUGGAAAUACAAUAAAAGAUCAAACAAAUAUCCAAGCAAUAUUAACAAAAAAGCACACUGAAAUAUUGAUGAUUCAAAAAAAGAGGUUCAGAGUCCAAAUAAUAAUUAGGUGAAGUACUUGGAAAUGCUUAAAAUAACACCUAAGCCAUCCUUAGAUAAAAAAACAUUGAUAAAGAAUUAUUAGCACAAAAUGUUGAUAAAAAACAUUGAUAAAAAACAUUGAAAAUUAAAUAUCUUCAAACCAUUCUCCUUUUACAAUUAAAGUGAAGUUGAUUAUUUAUAUCCUCUAAACAGUUUAGCUCCUUAAAGACCAAUAGUGACUCCACAAGAAGAUCACGAACUGUUAUGAACCAAUGAUGAACACCUGUGUGCUUCUGUAAUAGCUUACACACUCAAACCUAAACUUACUUCUAUACUAGCUUAUCUGCUCAGACUAGACUUACUUUUAGCAGGUAUGCAUAUCAAACAUCACUAGGUUCAAACAAGAGAAGAGUAAACAGAUGAUCAUAAAAAGGGAAAUAUAAGAUACAUUGCAGCAAAAAUUACAGACUAGCACAUCAGAAUUUAUGAGCUCAAAAGUUUUCAGCAAGAAUUUAGUAGGAUUAUAUACCAAUAGAAGGAUGAUUACCAUCAUCAAUAUGAGGCAAAGGUCGUCAUGCCGCCAUAAUAGGAGAGCUUCUCCCCGUCGCCAUCAUGAUAACCCUCGAGACAAGAAACACCACGUCAACCACUAUAGUCAAGACAUGGAAUUCAGGAACAGUGAGAGUCAGCACAUCACCUACGUCAAUUGAGAUCUCGAUCGAUCUUUAACGACAUCCAUAGGUCCAAGAUCCUGUAUGCACGUAGCGACAUCAGUUGCCCGCAGGGUCGCAUUCCCAUCCUUAUCAAGACGUGAACCAAGAAACAAAGAAUAAUUAGAAAUUAGAAGACUGACUAGGGCUUGUUGCGAUACGUGUGGAAGCAGAUCUAUGUGGAAUGCAUCUAUGGGUCCAAGAUCCAGUUCCCAUACAUCGACCGAAGAAGUCACGGGUGGCUUCUGCCACGAGUCGCAGAGGCACAGUCCCACACACAAGAAUCAGGAAUCAAGAAUACAAGCUAAGUGUCCAAGAUUCAGUACCCACAAGAUUUUACCCAAGAAGUCUUGGGGAGAGCUUCAGCCACCGUCCAUAGGGGCACAAUGCCACCCCCAUCGACACGUUCCUCCAUCCGUGCAACAGAAUAAUAACGAAUCAAGAUGACAAGCAGAUCUCGACGGUCUGCAUCCGAGCGUCACCCAAAUAGGCACAUCGAUUGGACCAAGAAGAGCCCCUCAUGGGCACAUUCUCACCCUCGUCGACGCGCCAGUCCCGAGGAACAGACGGAAACAGAAGAAUCAAGAAGACAAGUUAGGGUAUGGUGGAGUGCCUGCGGAAGCAGAUCGGGAUGGGUCUGGAUGUCGAGCAGGGCGUCGAAUCCUUGGCCUUGAGGACGUCCUCGUACUUGGCGGGGCGGCGGAGACGCGGGGGAUCAUGGAUCUGUAUGCGAUCGCAGGCGCCUUGAUGGGGCCGGUGGUGGUCACCACCGCGAGGCCCGGAAGAAGGAAGAUCAAUCACGCUGGGCGAAGAGGAGGGAGAAGGAGGAGGACGACGGGAGGAGAAGAGGAGGGAAAGAUCGGAGUCGGCGUCGACGCCGACCAAUAGGUAGGUCGCGAUCAAGUCGAAGGCAAACGUGGGCACGGCAACCAAUCAUUUCGAUCGCAACCGAAUUAUAGGGUCGUAACGACGGUGGGAAUAAUGGAAGGAGGCACUCUGCUCCACGACGUGAUUUAAGAACCGACUUAGCCGACGAGAAGCAGUGUUGGCACACAUCAGCAAUCACGCUUUCCGAUCGGGCUUAAAAAGAAAGAAAUAAGAAU